rnacentral:rRNA from 1 species
CCUACGGGAGGCAGCAGUGAGGAAUAUUGGUCAAUGGCCGUAAGGCUGAACCAGCCAAGUCGCGUGAAGGAAGAAGGAUCUAUGGUUUGUACACUUCUUUUAUAGGGGAAUAAAGGUAUCCACGUGUGGAUAUUUGCAUUUACCCUAUGAAUAAGCAUCGGCUAACUCCGUGCCAGCAGCCGCGGUAAUACGGAGGAUUCGAGCGUUAUCCGGAUUGAUUUGGUUUAAAGGGUGCGUAGGUUGUUUUUUAAGUCAGCGGGGAAAGUUUGUGGCUCAACCAGAAAAUUGCCGUUGAAACUGGAAGACGUGAGUGUGUUUGAGGUAGGCGGAAUGUGUGGUGUAGCGGUGAAAUGCAUAGAUAUCACGCAGAACACCGAUUGCGAAGGCAGCUUACUAAGCCAUAACUGACACUGAAGCACGAAAGCGUGGGGAUCAAACAGGAUUAGAUACCCUUGUAGUC